AAAUAAGUUCACUGAUAUUCUUAGGUGAUAUCCUAUUUUGGGUGAGGCCAUCAGAUUCAAUCCAAACAAGGAUUAUUACAGAAAACGUUUCAGACAGAAACAUGCUGCAUUUUUAGUGUAAAUUCGGCUCUUACAGAUGUAUUUUCUGUUCUCGAUUCAUGUUUUAACACAGUUGGCCUUUGCUGCUGAGCCAACAUUUCUUCAGCGGACCUUAUCUAAAGGUGUGCUCCCUCAUGAAACUCCUAUUAACGCGUCUUUCUCAGUAGUCUUCGCUCUAUGCUGCGAAUUGCUUUCUUUUGUUUCCUUCUAAUGAAUUUAGCCUGAGUUCACAUUAUUGCUUUGUGCAGAAUGUGUAGCCUGAUGUAUUUUUCAUUUCAUCUCUCUCCUUCUUUCAUGCCAUCCUCAGAAACCGCCAUAGUCUAAGACAUCUCCUCCUCGUCCUCAGCCAAAAGAACUUCUCACAACAUCAAAGAAAGCCGGAGAGAAGGAGAGCGGGAAGGAGGGGUCUGCCUUGUAUCUGGGUUCUCAUGGAGAAGACGGUGGAGGAGAGGGGGAGGGGGAAAGCGAUUGAGAGAGAGAGAGAGAGAGAGAGAAAGAAAGGCAGGUAUGGAGGGAGGGAAACGAGGAUGAGAGAGGAACGAAGCCAACCAACCAGCUGAAAGAGAACGAGCGAUCGGGGCUGUUUGAACGUGGCUGGGAGAAAAGGAGGGAGGAGGGAGAGAGAGAGGGUGAGAUCGAUUGUCAGAUCCGAGGAAAUAGAAGUGUUACUAUUGCACGGCCACUGGAACGGUGUCUGCCUGCUGAGGAUAUGCAUUGGCUCCCAGCGCUCACCGGCUCGCAGGACACGCUCUAAGAUGUAAUUUCCAAAGGCCUAAUUGUUGCCACGGAGGGAUCUACAAAUAGAGGCAACCACAGCAAGACAUGUGUCUCUGGGGAUGAUGCCGUUGCCGCUGGUGCCACUCUCCCUGUCGCCAUGACGAUGCCGCUCAGCCCCCUCUCCAGCGACGAGGAGCAGCAAAGGAUGCUGGGAAACAGUCAACACCUUUAUCCAGGGGCAGAAGAGGAAGAAGAAGAGGAGGAGGAGGAGGAAGAGGAAAUGGAUGAUGACUGCGUGGACGAGGAAGGCGAGGAGGAGAACGGAGAGCUGGAGUUGGAUGAUGAAGAGGACGUGGACGACGAAGAUGACAUCAGGCGAGGUCCAAGGCGUUUGAGAGGAGGCAGGGAAGAGGGGCACAGGCAAAAAGGCACAAUGGCUGGACGACUUCCAGGAGACAGACCGCUACGAGCUGGCAACCCGGGCCACACAGCCAACCCGUAUUCGUCCAACACUGGACCCACCCACCAAGCGCCGGCUAAUCAGCAGCAGCCGCAACAGCAGCGGAAGCUACGAGAGCGAAGCUCAAGCAACGCACCUGACGACACACACAUAGCUAUGAUGGUCUUUCGAAUUGGCAUUCCUGAUAUCAAACAGACGAAGUGUCUGAGGUUCAACCCUGAUGCAACCGUAUGGAAGGCAAAGCAGCAGGUGCUGUGUAGUCUAACUGAAUCUCUAAGGGAUGUAUUAAACUACGGUCUUUUCCAACCUGCUACCGAAGGGCACGAUGCCAAGUUCCUGGAGGAAGAGAGGCCGCUCCGCGAAUACCCACAAUCCUUUGAGAAAGGAGUACCCUACCUGGAGUUCCGCUACAAAACCAGGGUGUACAAACAGACAAAUCUAGAUGAAAAACAGCUGGCCAAACUACACACAAAGGCCAGUCUGAAGAAGUUCAUGGACUACAUCCAGACCGGGGCUGUGGAAAAGGUAGCCAAACUUGUAGACAAAGGCCUUGACCCCAACUACCAUGACCCUGAUACAGGAGAGACCCCACUCACUCUGGCCGUACAGACGGAGCCGGGUGGAGGGGAGAUCAUCAGGGUGCUGGUGAUGGGGGGAGCUCACAUUGACUUCAGGGCAAAGGAUGGCUUGACCCCUCUCCACAAGGCUGUCAGAGCGCAUGCGCACACUGCCCUACUGACGCUGUUGUCUUUGGGGGCAUCUUCUGAUUAUAAGGACCGCCGUGGGCUGACACCACUGUACCACACUGUGCUGACAGGGGGUGACACCUCCUGCUGUGAGACCCUCCUCUAUCACAGAGCCAAGCUGGGGCUCCGUGAUGAGAAUGGCUGGGACGAGACCCAUCAGGCUUGUCAAAAUGGGAACUCUCAACAUUUAGAGCACCUGCUUUUUUAUGGUGCAGACUCCUCAUCCCAGAAUGCCUCAGGAAACACUGCCCUGCACAUAUGUGCUUUAUAUAACAAGGAAAGCUGUGCCCGCAUUUUGCUGUAUCGAGGAGCCAAUAAGGACACAAAGAAUAACAGUGGGCAGACCCCCUUCCAGGUGGCUGUGAUGUCUGGCCAUUUUGAGCUGGGAGAAAUCAUUAAAAACCACCGUGAAUCAGAUGUAGUUCCCUUUUUGGAGUCUCCAAAGUAUGCCCCCCAGAGGAAGGAGAGUUCACGUACUCUUGGAUUGCCCCAUCCUCAUCCCUUCUUGCGGGCCAACAGUGACAACAGUAUGAACGUGCCAGACUGGAUCGCUUUUCCCAACGCUGCCGGAUCAAACCUAGUCUCUGUGCAGGGUCUAAAGCAUGGCGGCACCUUGCGUAGCUCCAGCAGUCCCCGUGGAGCACGAACCCGUUCCCCGUCCCGUGGCCGAACAGGCGACCGAGACGAUCGGAGCCGGCAAACACGGGGAAGACAAGGGGCUGGCUCUAUCAGUAGUCAGGGCACAGCAAGCGGGCAGCGGCGGCGUCUCUACAGUGCCGUGCCUGGCCGUGUGUUUGUGGCCACCCGCUCGCACUCGGCCCAGGGAGACCGCGAGAUCAGCUUCAACAAGGGAGACAAAGUCAAAGUGUUGAGUGUUGGUGAAGGAGGCUACUGGGAGGGGACAGUUCGCGGGCGGACGGGCUGGUUCCCCUCUGACUGCGUGGAGGAGGUGGCUCUCCGCAGCCUGGAGUCCCGUUCAGAGAGCCGCAGUGAGAGAGCCAAGCGACUAUUCCGACAUUACACCGUUGGAUCCUAUGAUAGCUUUGACGCACCCAGUGACUACAUAAUCAAGGAGAAGACAGUCCUCCUGCAGAAAAAAGACAAUGAAGGUUUUGGCUUUGUGCUGAGAGGAGCCAAGGCUCAGACCCCUAUAGAAGAGUUCACUCCCACCCCAGCCUUUCCAGCACUGCAGUACCUCGAGUCUGUCGACGAGGGAGGCGUGGCUUGGAGAGCUGGUCUGCGAAUGGGAGACUUCCUUAUCGAGGUGAAUGGUCAGAAUGUGGUUAAGGUGGGACACAGGCAGGUGGUCAAUAUGAUCAGGCAAGGCGGCAACAGCCUCAUGGUCAAGGUUGUCAUGGUUACCCGGAACCCUGAUAUGGAGGAAGGGGUCCGAAAGAAAAUCCCACAGCAGAGUAAAAGGCUGAGCACACCGGCUAUCGCUCUGCGCUCCAAAUCAAUGACAUCAGAACUGGAAGAGAUGGUGUUCACAGCCUCUGCCCCAUGGAAAAAAAAAUCAGAGUUCGAGUCUUCACAAGCUACAGAGAAGAAGAGGACAGUUUAUCAGAUGGCUUUGAAUAAACUGGAUGAGAUUUUAGCAGCAGCACAGCAGACCAUCAACACCAAUGAGGCCCCAGGGCCCCGGGUUCAGGGGGUAAAAAGAGAACGGGGCAGAGGCUUUUAUAAUGAGCCAAGUUUCGACCAAUCGGGAAUGGGGAUGACAACAUCUGGGGCAGGGCUAGGCUAUGACCGUGGUCAAUUUGUGUCUGGCCACGCCCCCCCGCACGGUAUGCUGCGACAGAAGUCCAUCGGGGUUCCAGAGGAGGAGAAGCAGUUCCUUCAUCCUCCAGCCAUGAAGUUUGCCCGCAGUCUUUCAGUACCUGGCCCAGAUGACAUCCCUCCUCCCCCUACUACAGCUCCCCCUGAGCCCCCUUUCUCCUCAGCUCCCCCUCUUGGCUUUAGGGGCAAGACAUCCCAGCAGCCGUCUGUUUCUAUGUCCCAAUCCACUUCCUCUUCUGCACAUUAUCAGCUCUACUCACAGUCAGUACAUGUCACACAUGGACCCAGAGACAGGUCCCCUGGACCACCUGCUGGGUCCGGAACCGGAGACCUCUCUUACUCACAUGCUCAAGCCCACCCCUCUGUGCCAAGCAGGACUGCCUCCAGAAAGGUGAUUGGGUACACAGGGGACCUUGCAGGGGCUGGAGGAGCACCAGGAGCCAAGGCAGCAGCAUUGAGAAGGGGCUACAGCAAUGCAGUCCCACCCACUAGUGUCGCUACUGUAAUUCCACAACAGCAGCAGACUACUCAGAGCCAACCUUCCAGGAUGGACCGCAGUGCGACAGGGGCAGGAGCAGGGGCAGGUGGUGUACCGAAAGGUGGUGCCCGGAGAGGGAAGGGGCCCUUGGUGAAACAGUCAAAGGUGGAGGAUCUGCGUCAGGGCCAGGGCACACUGGAAGGGAAGGGGUCAGUGGAGAAGAGCUCUAUUCCUAUCCCAACCAUCAUCGUUAAAGCUCCUUCCACCAGCAGCAGUGGUCGCAGUAGCCAAGGCAGCAGCAUGGAGGCUGAACCACCUCCUCCAGGAGAGAGUGACAGUUCUAAACCCCAACCUAUUGUUCCCCCACCUGCACCCACCGUUCCACCCCCAGCCCCUCCAUCUAUACCUGCUCCCCCACCCCCAUCACUGCGUACUCAAGAGAGUUUGGACUUCACCAGCCAGUUUGGUGCUGCCAUAGUAGGGGCAGCUCGCAGGGAUCGAGAACGAUUCCAUGAAGCACGACGGAAGAGUGCCUCCUUUUUUCUUUCUGCUGAGGAAGAGUUGGGUGGAGCAGGAGAAGUGGGAGGACGGACCCAGACUUCCCAACAGCAGCUGAGUUCCCAGCCUUUACCUCGUCUGCGACCGUCCAAAUCUAUAGAUGAAGGCAUGUUCUCAGGUGAUACUUUUAUCCACCACACACGCAGUAUGCCUCCUGCCUUUGGCCUGCCUGAGUACUCCUCACCUGCUCCUCCUGGGGAUUACCAGCCUAAGUCUGUACCUGCUGACUUCUAUGGGGCGGGAGGCCGACAACAGCAGCAGCAGCAGCAAUCCUCCACCACAACUUUCAUUCACCCAUUAACGGGGAAAGUUCUGGAUCCUUCAUCCCCACUAGGCUUGGCGUUGGCUGCAAGGGAACGUGCCUUGAAAGAUGAUGGUCGCAUACGCAGGGAGAGGACAACUGAACAUCAUUUUACCCGUCAGUUGUCCAGCAUUGGGGCCUUUCCCUCGUCCACUGCUCAACCAGCAUCACAUAUCUCCUACUCAAUGGCCUCGUCUUCCUCUGCAACCUCCUCUGCUGCUCAGUCCUCAAGCUCCUCCUCGUACCUUGUUACCUCCUCAUCACUCGCUGCCACCACUACAUCUACUCGGCCUCCAUCUCCCAGGAUCCUGCGUGGAGCAGGAACCAGCUGGGGUGAGGAAGCAGGGGUUGGAGAGCGUGCAGACAGGGAGGCAGCUGGCACCUCUGCUCCCAGAGAAGGCCUAAGGGUUCGUUUCUCUGAGGAUAAAACAGUCCACACGCACCACUAUCAGCCCACCUACAAGGAGCGCGAACGAGAGCGGCAGAGAGAGAGGUCACGAGAAAGAGAGAGAGAACGAGAAAGGGAAAGAGAGAUAGAUAAAGCUCAGACCCAGUUACAGCAGCAGUCCACACAGCCAACACCCCAGCAGCCUCGACGCCCCUCGUUCUUGAGGAUGGAGAGUGAGGCUGGAGCAUACAUCCUUUCCUUGACACCACCUUCAACAACAGCCCCUACACGUCCUUCAGCAGGAGCUGCAGGUGAAGGUGCAAGUGGCACUGGUCUGAUGGUUCUUCCUCCCCCAGCACCCUCAGUAGAUGCAGAUGAUGAGUUUGUGUUUGUUGAUCCUCUCCCUCCACCUCUGGAGUUUGCCAAUAGUUUUGAUCGUGGUUUGAGUUACUCUGCGAUGAUGUCCCACAAUGUGACAGCCCGCCAGCAGCUUCAUCAUCCACCUCAACCACCACCUCCUCCGCCACCUCCUCCCCCUCCAAAAGACUCCUUUAUGUCUGGGUUCCCACCUCACACACCCCUGCCCUCACCCCAGGCAGGAGAUUCAACAACUUCCAGCCUUACUUCCUAUGACAGUGAGGUCGCCAACCUCACCCAGUCAGCCCCGUCUCCCUCUCCAUCUUCCCCCAACCCACUACCGCCUCCCUCUCCCUCCACCUUGCAGCCCUCUGGGCCACCUCCACCUCCUUCUGUAUCACCCCCGCCACCACCCACCUCCUACCAUAGACCGUUUGGCCUAUCUCAGUCACAACACUUAUACAACAGUACAAAUUCAGCCGGACGCUCCUCUUCUCCCACACCACCACCUCUCUCUAUUCCAGCUCCACCUGCCUACCGGGGCCCUCCAACAGCAACAUCCACCCCAGCAACUUCUGUAUCUCUCAGAGGUGCCUCAACUGUGACCGCAAGCUGUUCCACAACUGCUUCUACAACUGUAGUCUCUUCUGCUACUACUGCUGCUGCUGCUGUCACACCACACACACGCAUUGCAACUGUCUCCACAGUAGCUACAGGGGGUAGCAGACGGCCCAGCGCAGAGCGCCAUCCGCCACCCAGUGCAGCUAAGAGCGGCGAGUCCCAGGAGACAGUGGUGGAUUCUGGGAUUGAGGAGCUGGAUAGCCGAAGCAGCAGCGACCAUCACUUAGACAACAUCCUUGCACGCAGUGGUAGUGGGGUCAGAGAAAGGUUGGAGAGAGCAGGGAUGGGUAGCUUAGGUGGAGUUGGAGAGAGAGGUGGGGCAACAGAGGCCGACAGAAUAAGUGGGGCAGACUUUUUAGAGUCUUACAUGAGCUAUCUUGAUGGACAGACUUUUGAAAUGCACAAUGCCAAAGCCGCCAGCACUGCAUCCACCUACCCAAAAACACAGAGGUACAGAGAAGGGAGUCGGGCUGGAGAUCUUCGACGCCAAACCAGCACGGCACCCCCUGCAUACCACCGUCGUAGGGAUGAGGAAGAGGAGGAGGAGGAAGAAGCAGAAGAAGGAGAGGAGGAGGAUGUGAAUGUCCGCGAUGGCUAUGGAAUGAGGGAAGUGCCAGGGAUCGCUCGCUCCUCUGUAAUGUACUUUGACCGGCCCCGCACUCCAGAGAUAAAACCUCUGUGGGGUGAUGGGUCGGCCGGGGCAGCGCAGUCCAUGGGGGAGGGAGGGGUCCAGACUGGGGGGACAUAUGUGGAGGCACGUAAACUGCAUCCUCCCAUGUCCGGUAUGAAGGCAAGCAUCAUCAAUGAACUCAGCACCAAAUUACAGCAGAGGAGCAAAGGAACGGAGAACUGGGGAACUCAGAGAUCACUGAGCAGACAUAGGUACAGGUUCUCAGAGGACUCCACAGGUGCACUGAGUCCUCCCUCUGUCCGCUCUAGCUCUCCAUCUCCUGUUCAGCUCUCUCAGCCUGCCUUGUCUCCCUCCCCCACCCCUUCUUCCCAGCCGCUCUACCCAAAUUGGGCUCGAUCUCCUUCCCCUCAGCCCCCUGCUGCCUCAUCCCAGCUUCCUCCCCGAUCACACUCACCUGUUUCUCCCUCUUCAUAUUCACCGUACCCUACCUCACCCAAACACCGGCCCGUUUACCGCACCAAAGCCCUGGAGUUCCAGUUUAUCCCCAGCAGAGAGUCACGUAAGGCAGAGUCGCAUCACGCUCAGCGCAGAAGAGCACCCAGCCCGUUAAUUUCACCCUCUGACCGCCCAAAGCUUGGCCCUCCCCGCCCCUCUUCCCUUCCCAUUCUCCCCACCACGCCCCUCUAUAGCAGCUUGUAUGACCUCCGUGGUUCUAUUACUCCACCCUCACCUGCCAAUCCUCUUGGGGACCCCUACUUCUCCCCCUCUCCCCCUCUCUUUGCCCCCUCGGGGGCUCCACCUCCUCCAAAUUCCUCUCUGGUGGUCUCUCGCUCCUUGUCCCCCACCCACUUCCUGUCAGGGACUUCAUCCCCACCACUCCACCCCAUUCCUCCACCCACUUGCCUGAGUUACCCUCACCUCCCACCCCCUUCACCCACCAAACCCUUUGCCUCCAAACCACUCCCAUAUUGGACCAAGUAUGAUGUGGCGGAUUGGCUGGGCUACCUGAACCUGGGUGAGCACAGGGAGCGAUUCCUAGACAACGAGAUUGAUGGCACGCACCUACCCUCUCUUACCAAGGAUGACUACCUGGACCUGGGUGUGACCAGGGUUGGCCAUCGCAUGAACAUAGAGAGGGCGCUCAGGAGAGUGAUGGACAGGUGA
ensembl:lncRNA